rnacentral:rRNA from 1 species
UGGGGAAUUUUGGACAAUGGGCGCAAGCCUGAUCCAGCAAUGCCGCGUGCAGGAAGAAGGCCUUCGGGUUGUAAAGUACUUUCAGCGAGGAGGAAGGCGAUAAGGUUAAUAACCUUGUCGAUUGACGUUACUCGCAGAAGAAGCACCGGCUAACUCCGUGCCAGCAGCCGCGGUAAUACGUAGGGUGCGAGCGUUAAUCGGAAUUACUGGGCGUAAAGCGUGCGCAGGCGGUGAUGUAAGACAGAUGUGAAAUCCCAGGGCUCAACCUUGGAACUGCCUUUGAAACUCCCAGUCUUGAGGUCGAGAGAGGUGAGUGGAAUUCCGAGUGUAGAGGUGAAAUUCGUAGAUACUCGGAGGAACACCAGUGGCGAAGGCAAUCCCCUGGGCCUGCACUGACGCUCAUGCACGAAAGCGUGGGGAGCAAACA